GGGGUGCGUGAUAGACUUACCUCCACGUGGUGCACCCUGGGCAACGUAUGCACACACGGCAAAAAUGUCUAC
rfam:Hymenolepis nana genome assembly, scaffold: HNAJ_scaffold0001185